AGGUUGACCUCCACAUAGCCUCGAUCGUUUAAAUUAUUUAAUCAAUUUAGAUUUGUUGGGUUAUCUCCGCCUUAAACCUUUGGGGAUUAGGGUUUUAGGGCACAGCGACGACGAACUGGAAUUAGCUCCAAAUACUGAUCAUUUGGGAACUGGAAUGCUUCUCCCGAUCUUUCCUCCUUGUUUGUUUUUCCAUUAAGCCGCAUAAGCCUGUAAGCGAUCAAGGGGUUGGCAUCAUCCUUCAAUGAUGUUGAGGACGACGAUGGAGACCCAGAUCGGUUAAUCUUUGCAGCUUUAUCUUUAUCAAAUGCCUUCUGAACAUCGUUUUUAAGCUCCCUG